rnacentral:rRNA from 1 species
AAAGGCUAGAAUGAAUGGCUUGACGAGAAUUUUUCUGUCUCUAAUAUAUUAAAUAUAAUUUAUUUUUUAGGUGAAAACACCUAGAUAAAAACGAUAGACGAAAAGACCCUAUCGAACUUAAAAUUAAAUAUAAAUAUUAUUUUUAUAGAAAAAAAUUAUUUAAUAAUUUUUUUUGUUGGGGUGACAAAAGAACCUACAAAGCUUCUUUAAAUUUAAUAAAAUUAUUAAUUUAAAAGACCUACAUUUUGUAACAACAAGAAAAGUUACCGUAGGGAUAACAGCGCUAUUUUUCUAAAAAGCUCUUAUUAAAGGAAAAGUUUGCGACCUCGAUGUUGGAUUAGAAUUCCUUUUAGGUGCAGAAGCUUAACAAGGAGGUCUGUUCGACCUUUAAUUUUCUACAUGAUCUGAGUUCAAACCGGUGUAAGCCAGGUUGGUUUCUAUCUUCGUUUUAAUUAUAUUAAUCUUAGUACGAAAGGACCAUAUUAAUUAAAUUUUGUUUAUUUAGUAAU